UGCGCAAACACGUCCACCACGCACUUAACCACAGCGCAUGCGUCGUCUUAAACCCGCCUCUCGGCACUGUUUCCUCCCGGAGUUUCCACUUCCGGCUCCGAGGGCUUGGGGACUAACCGGGAACAUGCGGCUCUCGGUAGCUACCGCCAUCUCCCAUGGCCGAGUAUUCCGCCGCCUGGGACUUGGUCCCGAGUCCCGCAUCCACCUGUUGCGGAACUUGCUCACGGGACUAGUGCGACACGAACGCAUCGAGGCGCCGUGGGCGCGUGUGGACGAGAUGAGGGGCUACGCCGAGAAGCUCAUCGACUAUGGGAAGCUGGGAGACACCAACCAACGAGCCAUGCGCGUGGCAGACUUUUGGCUCACAGAGAAAGACUUGAUCCCAAAGCUGUUUCAAGUACUGGCCCCUCGGUACCAAGGUCAGAAUGGGGGCUACACGAGAAUGCUGCAGAUACCAAAUCGGAAUAAGCAGGAUCGGGCUAAGAUGGCAGUGAUUGAGUAUAAAGGGAACUGCCUGCCACCCCUGCCCGUGCCUCGCAGAGACAGCAACCUUACACUCCUCAACCAGCUACUUGUGGGGCUGCGGCAGGACCAGGAAGCAAGCAUCUGCAGUUCCCACACACCUCAAAUUCCAAGGAUUUAACUGGAGCCAAAGGGUGUGUAGCCCAUGAUCAUAGGCCUUUGGAUCUCUUCAUCUUUAAGAAGAACUGGAGCUAGAGUUGUGAAAUGGACAGCCUUAAUGGAGCCCAGAACUGUCUGGGGAGGUAGAUAACCCUCUUUUUGCAUAAUAGCUGUUCACCCUCUGCUCAGAAGUCGCUUUUUUGAGGCCUUCUCCAACUUCCACUUCACCCUCCAAAUGUGGCAAGGUCCCUUCCUGUGAGCAGCUAGGGUCCUCAGAUCAUACACCUAUCAAAGCUUUCCUCAUACUGUAUCACCAAUGCCUAUCUGCUUGACUGAUAUCCUUCCCUCAACUGAGCUGAAGCCAGAAACUGGGACUCAUUCUUCUGGAUAACUCUAUUCCUACUAAAGGACCGGAAUCAUAAUAGCUCAGUAUAAGUUUAUUCAAUGAUGAAGAGUAAGCUGCAUGUUGUUUGUGACAUAUUCAGCUCUCAGGCUGAGCCUUACAAAACAAUAAACGGUGCUGUGUGCAGGGACAGUG